rnacentral:lncRNA from 1 species
GACACCCGAAAGAAAAACAUGGCCCAGGACCUACAGGACAAGGAGUCCUCUGGAGAGGAGGAGAUUUUCAACAAGGAUGUACCAGGGGAUGUCAAGAAAGAAGCCUUGGAGGUGGCAAAACCGUCCACAGAAGAGAAUGAAACUGUCGGACCGUCAGAAUGAUCUGCUAUCAGUUAUUAAUAAAUUAUUUUUUGUAGAUUUGUGAGUGUCGAAGACUUUUACACUCAAGUAAAUGAAAAUUGAGAGUGUGGGCCAGUCAGAUGGCUCAUCGCAGGAAGGGAGGUGUCGUUCAAGCCUUGGGACCUGAGUUUGAUCCAGAAUCCAAGUGAAUAAAAGCUUCAUUCUCCACCUUUAUCCCUGCGCAUCCUGCGGGCAGGACAGAUUUUGAGUUGAAGGUGUUGUGGGUGGGUUGAUGUCACCCUCCUACUGGAAUUCCUGACUGGCUACAUGAGGUGACUACUUCAGUCUCUGUAGGAAUCUCAGCUAGGGUCACUCCCAUAGACUCCCUGUAGUCUCCGCCAUCCCAGGUCUCCAACCAGAGAUGCGCCCCCAGNUCCACCUUCACCACCCCCUGCCCCCACCUCACCACCUGUCAAUGGCCAUGCUCACUCCCAGCCUUCUCCCACACACCUCAUCACCGUCCCCCUCCUCGCCCCCUCUCCCACCCAGGUCCCUCCCUCCACCUCUGGUAACUAUUUAUUUUUCCCUUCUGAGUAAGAUUCGAGCAUCCUCCCUGGGGCCCCCUUAUUACUCAGCUUCUGGGGUCUGUGGGGUCAGUUGAGGGACAUCUAGGUUGUUGCUAGUUUCUGGUUAUUUUGAAUAAAGCUGUUAUGAACGUA